GCCUGGUAGUAUAGGGGUUAAUACACGUGCCUAUCAUGAAUGUUGAAAUCUGGGCUCGAUUCCCAGCCAGGGGCA